UCAGAUGUGGCUGGGAGACCAGGCGAGUCUCCAGGAACGCGAUGACAUUGAGCUGGGUGAUGAAAGUCACGGAUGAUGGGUCGGAGUGGACAAGUAGGGUCUUCCUCAGACUUUGGUGGUAUUGAACUUGAUGCUCCCUCUCUGAUCCUAGGCAGGCCUCAACAGCAGUAGUUUGCACAUCCAUCUCCCCAGGAAUGUAAUUUAGACUUAGUCAUACUCACCUCCACUCAGGUCAAUCUGAAGGCCCCAGACUUCUGGUCACUCACUCACAUGUGAAUCCCUUUGAUCCAAUCACAGGUGUGUGUAGCUGAGGAAUUCAUCCUUGGGGAUUGUGAAACAUCCGGAUAGAUAACCUGCUCCACGGCUGUCCUCCAAUAACAUGUAGCCUGGAGGCUUCAACUGGAGGACGUAUAAAUGGCCUCUUCCUUCCUGGCCCCACAAGGCCUCCAGACUCCUCCAGGGGUGACUUUUCCACACAUCUUCUAGGCUUCGACUUGCUAGCCCAGCGAUGUCACAGCAGAAGCAACAAUCUUGGGAGUCUUUUCGGGCUCCCAAAUACUCCCUUCCCCAGGAACCACACCCCUCCCUGGCUCCCAGCUCUGACCCUUGUUGCACUCCCUGUUCAGGAGGCUGUGGUUCUGGUUCCCAAAGCUCCGGGACUCAGAACCCGGCCGGUGCCCGGAGGGCUAGCCGAACGCCCCGCUGCCUCAGGGGUGGAACGGUCUACCACAUCAAAGAGGAGGAAUGUUGAGGUGACCAGCGAGGAGAGGGGCAUAGGGAUAGGUGUUCUCUCCCCACCCAGGUCUUGUGUACUCCUUCCACUGGGAAGCUCAGGACCUUCCCUCUCUUUUGGGUCAGGAAACACCUCCAGGCCCCAGCACUUAAGAAGUGAGAUCUCAGCCAAGCUGCACUUCUGAUUCUGUCUUCCACCCCCCAGCUCAGCAACGAGACAGCUGCUUCGUUUGGAGCCCUGGCUGCUGUGACCUUGAAGCCUCAGCUCAGAUGUGCCGAGACCUCCACAGGUGGAAGCUGUCCCUCCUCUCCUCCUAAGAUAGCUGACAAUGUUUCAAGGAGACAGAUGGUUUGAGAUGCUUGACUGAGUUCUCAGCAUUUUCACGGCCAUCAACCGAUGUCACCACAUAAUCCUAGCACUGAAGGCUUCAAUGUAAUAAACUUAUGCUUGUACUAGUACCUACUGUGUACGGGGCUCUGUGAUUGCAGAUGCAAGUAGGAGUUUUGUCUCUGCUCUAGAAAAGCUUACAAUCUAGUUGGAGAGGCAAUGUACUCUCUAGAUUGGAAUAUGUGAACUAAUGAAUAUAAUUUUAAGCUGAUUGACUUAUUUUUUCCCACUUUGUGUCAAAAAAUACUUAAAGGGGAAACAAAAAGUUCAAAAGGUCAAGGACAGCAGGGAGAGGCUUAUGUUGGCUUAAGGUGGUUUCCCCGGGCUGGAUAAGGACACAUUUGUAAUAUCUUAAUCAAUAAAGGGAAAAUAAAAAAAUAAAAUAAAAUAAUAAAAAAGACAUGCUAAAAAAAAAAAGUCUGAAACAGAGAGAGCAUGUGUGUUGUCGGAGGGAACAGGCUCCCUGGGGUAGGUAGCCUUUAAACAGGGCCUUUAAAGUUAAGCUGGCUCUGGUCCUGUGAGUGGAGUGAGGAGGAAGAAUCCUUCAGGUGGAAGAUACUGCAUAAACAGAUGCAUGUCAUGUGUGGUACUUGCCAACGGCAUGAAUUUUAAUUUGGCUGGAGUGUCAGGUGUAAGAUGAGGAUGUGGGACUGUAACCUGAAUUCCUUAUAAUAACUCAAAUCAGCUGAGUUACUGAACUUAAGGUAGAAAAUCCCAGCUACCAAAGUACUGUCAUCUGGGGAAAGUCUGGGCCAAGUUCAGGGUCUAUAAGCCUGAAGUUGGGGGAACCUGUGGUAAAGUAUAGGGGUCUGGAGGGGCUUGAGGCUCAGCUAUGUUACAUAUCAACCUAGGUUCCACGGAACAAUGUUUAUCUGAUUCUCACUUUCUGGAGGGGUGGACAGAAAAUAUUUUUUUCCAAGUACUCACCCUAAUAGAUUAUAUUGUAGAGGAUGCCUAUUUCCAGGACUUAGUAGUCUUCCUGAUUGCUGGGGCCUGAUUUUGUCUCUACUACUACUAUAUAUAUAUAUAUAUAUAUAUAUAUAUAUAUAUAUAUAUAUAUAUAUAUAUAUCUGUAGGUAUAUCAAAAUUAUAUAAAAUUAUAAUUUUGUGUGUAUAAUUUUUCUAAUUAAGCAAAUGAUACAUACUCGUUUCAUGUUAUAAAGAUUUGUUAAGGUAGAUAAGCAUAAGUAAGAUGAUUAAGACUAAUUGCAAAUCUUAUCACCUCAAAUAACCACUGCUAAUAAUUCCAUAGAUUUCUACAUUUCCUGAAAAUUAUAAAAUGGGAUAACUUCAGAAUAUUUUAUAACCUGUGUUUUUAACCUAACAAUAUAAUUUAUGUCAAUACUCUUCUAUGUUCAUAAAUAAAUAACACUAUUGUGUGAAGACACCAUCAUUUGUGUAACUAGUUUCCUAAUAUUGGACACUUACGUUGUUUCCAUUCUUGUGCUGUCUAAACAUAGUAAAAUAAACAUUCUCAUUGGUGAUUA